rnacentral:rRNA from 1 species
GCAGGUUGAAGGUUAGGUAAAACUAACUGGAGGACCGAACCCGUUAACGUUGAAAAGUUCUGGGAUGACCUGUGGAUAGGGGUGAAAGGCCAAUCAAACUGAGAGAUAGCUCGUUCUCCCCGAAAUGUUUUUAGGAACAGCCUCGGAUAUAGAAGUCUGUUAGAGGUAGAGCUACUGAUUGGGCUAGGGGGCUUCACCGCCUACCAAACCCUGACAAACUCCGAAUGCUAACAGAUAUCUCCGGGAGUGAGGCUACGGGUGCUAAGAUCCGUGGCCGAGAGGGAAAUAACCCAGAAUAGCAGCUAAGGUCCCUAAUAAGUAGUUAAGUUGAUCAAACGAGGUAGGACUUCUAUAACAGCCAGGAUGUUUGCUUGGAAGCAGCAAUUCAUUUAAAGAGUGCGUAACAGCUCACUGGUCGAGAAGUCCCGCACGGAAAAUAAUCGGGCAUCAAACUACGAACCGAAGUUCUAAGAUCUCCACUUUGUGGAUGAUCGGUAGGGGAGCAUUCUGAUCCGCUGCGAAGGUGUUCGGCGACGGAUGCUGGAGCGGUUUCAAAAGAAAAUGUAGGCAUAAGUAACGAUAAACAAGGUGAAAAACCUUGUCGCCGAAAGUCUAAGGGUUCCUGAUCAACGUUAAUCGGAUCAGGGUUAGCCCGGUCCUUAGUCAAACCCGAAAGGGGUAGAUGAUGGAAAGCAGGUUAAUAUUCCUGCGCUUGCUAUACAAUGAAAGUGACGGAGAGCCGUGGUCGCUGCGUACUGACGGAUAUGUACGCCUGAGUGGAGGCUUCGGCCAAAGCGAAACGAUAAAAGCUCUUCCAAGAAAAGCGAGUAUAGCAACCGGUACCGCAAACCGACACAGGUAGACGGGAUGAAUAUUCUAAGGCGCUCGGGUGAGCCGUGGAGAAGGAACUAGGCAAAUUGACGCUGUAACUUCGGGAUAAAGCGGACCCCGACGCAAGUCGGGGUCUCAGUAAAUUGGUUCAACCAACUGUUUAACAAAAACACAGGGCCCUGCAAAAUCGAAAGAUGACGUAUAGAGCCUGAUACCUGCCCGGUGCUGGAAGGUUAAGGAAGGAUGUUCGGGGGCAACCCCAAAGCUUCUGACUGAAGCCCCAGUAAACGGCGGCCGUAACUAUAACGGUCCUAAGGUAGCGAAAUUCCUUGUCGGGUAAGUUCCGACCUGCACGAAUGGUCUAAUGAGUUGAAC